AGUGAACGCUGGCGGUAGGCCUAACACAUGCAAGUCGAACGGCAGCACAGUAAGAGCUUGCUCUUACGGGUGGCGAGUGGCGGACGGGUGAGGAAUACAUCGGAAUCUACUUUUUCGUGGGGGAUAACGUAGGGAAACUUACGCUAAUACCUCAUACGACCUACGGGUGAAAGCAGGGGAUCUUCGGACCUUGCGCGAUUGAAUGAGCCGAUGUCGGAUUAGCUAGUUGGCGGGGUAAAGGCCCACCAAGGCGACGAUCCGUAGCUGGUCUGAGAGGAUGAUCAGCCACACUGGAACUGAGACACGGUCCAGACUCCUGCGGGAGGCAGAAGUGGGGAAUAUUGGACAAUGGGCGCAAGCCUGAUCCAGCCAUACCGCGUGGGUGAAGAAGGCCUUCGGGUUGUAAAGCCCUUUUGUUGGGAAAGAAAAGCAGCAGGUUAAUACCCCGCUGUUCUGACGGUACCCAAAGAAUAAGCACCGGCUAACUUCGUG
rnacentral:rRNA from 1 species